GGCGAACGGGUGAGUAACACGUGGGCAACCUGCCCUGAAGUGGGGAAUAAUCUUCCUAACGGAGGACUAAUACCGCAUGACACGGAAGAAUCGCAUGUUUUUUCCGUUAAAGAUUUAUCGCUUCGGGAUGGGCCCGCGUCCCAUUAGCUAGUCGGUAAGGUAAAGGCUUACCAAGGGCUACGAUGGGUAGCUGGUCUGAGAGGAUGAUCAGCCACACUGGGACUGAGAUACGGCCCAGACUCC
rnacentral:rRNA from 1 species